GCAAAUGUAACAUCAUCCAACAAUAUGAAGUACCAUUCCAUCAUCCAACGAUUACAUCAUUCUGCUAGUACAAAAUUUUGACAUUACAUUCAUCUUCUAGCUGUCAAUGCAGGACAAAUCUUGCAAAUAAACCUGCCACUAACAUGAUCAUGCCAUAAAACACAAUGCUGGACAUUUGUUUUCUUUCUAAACUAUCACAUCUUGCCCUAUUUGCUUGAACUUCUGCAUUUUUCUUCAGAACUAAUUGUCUCAAUGCAUCCUCUGUUCCAUUUCUCUGCAUCUGUUCUAUCCAUUGCUUCCAGCCAUCACCACAUGCAGCUUCAAACCUCCUGAUUGCAUCCCAAAGAUCCAUUAGUAGUUGUACAACAAAUGGGGAGCAGGGAUCAUCAUGCCGCUGAAAAAAAAAUCCACAGCCAUCUCUCUGAAUGAAACAGUUCAUACCAUCAGAAACGGAAACAAGGACGAGGAAAAAUUACAAGAGAAGAAGAUUGGAAGCUUACUACAAUUCCAUGAACGCAGCAGUAGAAUCUUCUUACAGUGGCAUUCCACUGCCGGCUCGUACGCCAUGG
rnacentral:lncRNA from 1 species